ensembl:sense_intronic Gm43728 predicted gene 43728
NNNNNNNNNNUCUUUCUUUCUUUCUUUCUUUCUUUCUUUCUUUCUUUCUUUCUUUCUUCCUUCCUUCCUUCCUUCCUUUCUUUCUUUCUUUCUUUCUUUCUUUCUCUUUUUCCUUCCUUCCUUCCUUCCUUCCUUCCUUCCUUCCUUCCUUCCUUCCUUUUUUUUAAAUAGAAGUAGGAAAUGCUGAUUAGCAGCUUAAUAUUUUUGUCUUUCUAAAAAUAAUGCAGAAGCAAGGGCUAAUCAUUGUUAUCUUAAAAAGUUAGUGGCUUUUCUUUUCUUAUUGUUUUAUACCAGUCUUUAAUUGCUUUUUUAAGUCAUUGAGCAAUAUAACGAAUUUCUUAAUGGCAUUCUUGUACAUAUCCAGUGUUAAUCUUUGUUCUCAUUUCUCUCCCUCCUCGCUGCCUUCCCUGCUCCCCUUUCUUCUGCCUUUCUCCUGAGCCCCCCUCCCGCUCCUCCUUUCAGCUUUACUUGUAUCUUUGACCUUUCUUACUCUUCACUCCUUUAAAACCCCUUCCUUUCUCCUUCCUGCCUGCUUUCAUGUUCUACACACACACACACACACACACACACACACACUUUUGCACCUGAGAGAAAACAUAUCUUACUUUCUGCACUUGGCUUUUGUUGCUUAACACCAUGAUCUCAGUUCUUCAUGGCGGAGUAAAGUUCCAUUGUGUAUGUGUAUCAUUACAUAUGUGAGUCAUCUGGCCAUGGACAUCUAGGCUGGCUCUGGAUGUUCGUUAUUGUGAAUGUUGUAGCAAUAUCAUGGAUGUGCAAGAAUCUGUCCAGUGCUGAUUUAAGGUUCUUUUGGCAUACAUAUUUCCAGGCGUAUACAGUUACCUGGAUCAUAUGGCCAUUAUGUUUGUAAUGCUUUUGAGAAGCCUCUACACUGACUUCCACAGAGGUGUAUUAGUUUACUGAUUCUUACUAAUAAUAGAUGUUCCUCCCAAGCAUUUGUUGUCCUCUGUCCUCUUGGGAGUAGCCAUUCUACUUGAGGUGAGAUGGAAUCUCACGGCAGUUUUCAUUUGAAAGUGGCAAGGCAGGUUGACUACCAGGACAGAGCAAGAGCGAUCAGAAUUUAAAAUGGUCACCACGUCCACACUGCCAUACUUCCUGCCAUGAUGAUUUAUGGAUGGAACCUCUGAACUUGUGAAUCAGCCCCAAUUAAACAUUGUCCCUUAUAAGAGUUGCCUUGGUCAUGGUAUCUCUUCACAGCAAUGGAAACCCUAACUAAGACAGUAUCCUUAGCUUGUCUGGAACUCUGUGUAGCUAGGUAGUUUUGAACUCACAUAGAUUUGCCUGUAUCUGUUUCUUGGAUGCUAGAAUUGAAAGCUUGAGCUGCAGUACAUAGCCAAUUUAUGGCCUUUAUCUUCUAAUGUCAUGGUUGUCAACUUUCCUGAUGUGUGACACUUUAAUAUGGUUCCUCAUGUGAUGAUGCCAACUAUAAAAUUAUUUCAUUGCUGCUUCAUAACUGUAAUUUUGCUGCGGUUAUGAAACGCAAUGUAAAUACCUGAUAUGCAAGCCCAGAGGGGUCUCCAUCCACAUGUUGAGAACUACUGUUCUAAUGUUUAUGACCUAUGUGAUAAUCCACAGUAAACUAAGAGUAACGAGGGAGCUCCUUUGUGCUUAUAGAGUGAAUUAGUAGCAAGCUGAAGAGCACAGUAGGUGGAAGUGACUCUGCUGCCAGCAUUUGAAGGUGUUCUUGUAAAUCUCAGUUCUUUCUUGGGCAGCUCAGCCCUACCUUGGGACCCUGAAAGAUUUACUUUAAAAAAAAAUAACUUGACAAACUGUUUUUCCUAGAAAGGGCAGGAUUCAGCUGCAGUCAGCAAUGUGGGCCAGAUAUCUGGAAAUUCUCUUUGCUUGUUCCUUUUAAAUGGCUAGUGAAGGUUUAUCAUCAAAUUUGUAGGUAUAUAAAAUAUAGGUGAGUGUAAUUCUCAUUUAAUGAAAAUAAAAUCAGGGUCAUAAUCAACAUUAAGUAAAUGUAACGUGCUUUCUGUCUCUCUGCCUCUGUCACUCUCUGUCUCUGACCUCUCCCUCCCACCCUUCCCCCCCACCCCGUGUGUGUGUGUGUGUGUGUGUGUGUGUGUGUGUGUGUGUGUGUGUGCUUGGUAUAUUUGGGAAGACCAUCUAAACCAGGGACAAGGACGUGUUAAGGACAAACAAGCCAUUUUAUGUCCAACUUUUGUAUCCUGUUGUAUUAAAAUCUCAACAUUGUCAGAUCUUCGGACUGUCAGGGAAGUCAAAUCCUGAUUCGUGUAGGUCUUUACAUUUGUUGACAUAUUUUUGUACCCUUAAUAACUCAGGGAAUAGCAGCAAAGAAGUUAAAAGGCAGAACUGGGCCGGAAACAUGGGAUAACUUUUAAUCUUAGUUACCGUCAGAGUUUAUAAUUAAAAGUGUGACACAAAGUACUGACUGGACUUUGUGGGUUAUCUAAAAAGGGGGGAUUUGGCUGGGGAGAUGGAGGUAUAGAAAUGAUCGUAUUUCAUUGAAUUUAUAAAGUAAUAAUGUUAGAAAGGGUAGCUCGAUAAAAAGGACCAGAGAAAAGCUUCUAAGUAAUGAUGGGAAAUUCCUUCAGGUUUUUGUAUAUCGUAGAUGCUUAACCUCUUUCUAGAAACGUUGAU